GAAAUGCGAUAAGUAAUGUGAAUUGCAGAAUUCAGUGAAUCAUCGAAUCUUUGAACGCACCUUGCGCUCCUUGGUAUUCCGAGGAGCAUGCCUGUUUGAGUGUCAUGGAAUUCUCAACUCUAUUUGCUUUUGUGAAUAGAGCUUGGAUUUGGAGGUUUAUUGCUGGUACUUGUGAUCGGCUCCUCUUGAGUGCAUUAGCUCGAACCUUUGCGGAUCAGCUAUCGGUGUGAUAAUUGUCUACGCCGUUGCAGUGAAGCAUAUCAAUGGGCUCGGCUUCCAAUCGUCCUUUACUGGACAAUGACUUUGACCUUUGACCUCAAAUCAGGUAGGAUUACCCGCUGAACUUAAGC
rnacentral:misc_RNA from 1 species